ACCCCCCCCCCCCCCCCCCCCGCAGGAUGGAGUAGGAGGCGGGGCCUGGCGGAGGGCUCCUCUGGUGGGCACGCACGCCCUCUGGAAGCCUCCGCAUCUUCCCCAAAGCACCAGAGCGAGCGUUCAGGCAGCUCUGGGCGUUCCCAGCUGUCAGUCUGGUGGCCCGCCUCGGGCUCUGGGCCGCCAGUGCUGAUGGUGGAGCUAAGACAAGUGUAUUUAUUCCUCUGUCCCAGAGCCACGCCUCCUGCUGCCUGCACCCUGGCAGAGGGGAGGUCUCAUCUGAGCAGCAUUCUCAGUGACCUCGAUGUUGCCUUUAGACAAGGGUGGGUUUGCCUCUUGCAUAUGGGCUUUUUCAGAAUCAUUUAUGAGCAGAAAAAAACGUUAAAAUAAAACUUUGCUACUACUAACCCUUCUGCAGUUCCCUGAGGCUCUGUGAUUUGUGUCAUUGUUGGGGGGACAGCGGGAGAGGAGACAGGAAGGGGCCCGGCGCUUAUUUCUAAUGUGUGUUGGUGUUUGUCCUGUAUGGUUUGGACUGUACAGAAAACUAUGCACAGGAAGAAAAUACUGGACAUCCAGAGGCCGACGCCGGUUGCUCUGAUGAAAUCACAUGGCCCAUCGCGGCCUGCUGCUUCCCCCCUCAUCAGAUGGGCUUUUCCCUGGGUUCACACAUUCUCCAUAAGCCCAGGUGGAUCAUGAUUUAUUUUUAGCAAAUCCCCUACCCUUGGACAUUAGGCUGUUUCCAGCGUGCGGACCCUGGGAGUCCAAGCUUGAGACCCUCCCUUUGUGCCCAGCGCCCUCAGGCCCAGCCUCAUGCGCAUCGUCUCAGCAGUGUGAAAAGCUCCCUCCAGCCCUGGGUGGUACAACUCUGUAUGGCUUCCAUUGCUUUCCCCUCUGGCCAGCCCUGAAAAGCAGGGAGAAAUCACUGGCCUCCGUUUCUGCUGGAGAGAACAGCCUUCAGGUUGGAGGUGGGUCCCCAGCAAACAUGUAUGGAACACCUACCUCGUGCCCUGCUUGGCGCUGGGGUCCUGGCGCUGCAUCGUGGAAAAGGCUUCUGCGUCUGGAAGGUUUUAACGAUCGGCCCGUUUCACCCUCGCAGCGACCUGUCCCUUGCCCCACUGUGUAGCUCGGGAAGACCGAAGCGCAGAGAGAUGAGACGAUUCGCUCGGGAAAGUGCUGCCGCCGAGGAGGGCCGCUCGUGGGACGGGACGUCUCACCUCAUGAGCCACGAAGUGAGCACCUACUGGGUGCCGCGGGCCCCCGCAAAUAAGCAGCUGGCCAGACACCAGGCAGAAGUUUCAGAGAACUGCGGGAAAUGGCCAAUCUAAGGUGCAUGAGCCGGGCGCGAAAACGGAUUUUGUCUGAUCAAAAAUAAAAUACAGGGAGCCUGCUUCCCUUCCGCUCUC